rnacentral:rRNA from 1 species
ACGUAGGUGGCAAGCGUUGUCCGGAUUUACUGGGUGUAAAGGGCGUGUAGGCGGGAAUGCAAGUCAGAUGUGAAAUUCCGGGGCUCAACUCCGGGGCUGCAUCUGAAACUGUAUUUCUUGAGUGCUGGAGAGGAAAGCGGAAUUCCUAGUGUAGCGGUGAAAUGCGUAGAUAUUAGGAGGAACACCAGUGGCGAAGGCGGCUUUCUGGACAGUAACUGACGCUGAGGCGCGAAAGCGUGGGGAGCAAAAAG